rnacentral:lncRNA from 1 species
CAAACCUAAUGAUUUAGCUUGGGGAGGAAGAAAAGAUAUGAGAGAAUCAAGGAAGAAAAGAUAUGAGAGAAUAAGCUUCCUAUUCUUUCCUGUUUUUCCUGGUGAAGUACAGUUUUUCAAGGUACCACCUACUCAUCCUCCAAUAUCCAGCUGGCACCUCCUCUGGGAAGACUUCCUGGAUAUUCCAGGUUGAUUUAGCAGCAUGCUGUGUGUAUCACACUGAAAUGGCCUACAUCCAGGAGCUGACACAUGGUAAAGAAUUCAAAGUUUCUUGAAAGAAUGCAUUAAUGCAACUUAUUUUCUGCUUCUAUUGUUUUUCUUGUAGUAUACCAACUAGGACACUUUUUG